rnacentral:rRNA from 1 species
GAUGAACGCUAGCGGCAGGCUUAAUACAUGCAAGUCGAGGGGUAACAGGUCCUUCGGGAUGCUGACGACCGGCAAACGGGUGAGUAACGCGUAUGCAAUCUACCUCUAACUGGGGCACAACUUUGGGAAACUGAAGCUAAUUCCCCGUAACAAUACGAAAUCGCAUGGUUUUGUAUUUAUAGUUCCGACGGUUAGAGAUGAGCGUGCGUCCGAUUAGAUAGUUGGCGGGGUAACGGCCCACCAAGUCUGCGAUCGGUAGCUGAUGUGAGAGCAUGAUCAGCCACACGGGCACUGAGACACGGGCCCGACUCCUACGGGAGGCAGCAGUAGGGAAUAUUGGGCAAUGGAGGCAACUCUGACCCAGCCAUGCCGCGUGAAGGAUGAAUGUCCUAUGGAUUGUAAACUUCUUUUGUUAGGGACGAAACCCUUGGAUUCAUCCGAGGCUGACGGUACCUAAAGAAUAAGCACCGGCUAACUCCGUGCCAGCAGCCGCGGUAAUAC